rnacentral:rRNA from 1 species
UCUGGUGUACCAGCUGUUCCGCCAGGAGCAUUGUUGGGUAGCUAUGUCGGGACGGGAUAAGCGCUGAAAGCAUAUAAGCGCGAAGCCUCCUCCAAGAUGAGAACUCAUAGACCCCUCGAAGAUGACGAGGUUGAUAGGCUCCAGGUGUAAGCCCAGUAAUGGGUUCAGCCGAGGAGUACUAAUGGUCACAAAAUGCAGGAU